rnacentral:lncRNA from 1 species
GGUCAAGUACGAUUCAGUACAGUCAAGUAUGGUUCAGACUGGGGUCGAGUAAUGUCAAGUAAAAGUCAGACCAAUUCAGACUGGUCGAGUAAAAAUCAGUACAGUCGAGUACAGAUAUAGGCCAUUUCAGACUUUAAUGGUUUGUAGUGAGUUGUAUUCACUCUCCAUUCUUUUUCGAUAAUUUUUAUUGUACACAAUCUAUUUAAUCAAAUCUAAAAUUCGAAUAAU